UCUCCACUUUGUGAUAAAUGUAAAUCUGCUGAAGGAUCAUUGUCUCACUCCUUUUGGGGAUGUCCAAUUAUUCAAUCAUUUUGGUCCAGCAUUUUCUUUUUUUACUCGGGGGUAUAUCAGAGACAAAUUGUCCCUGAUAGGGAUAUGAUCUUAUUUGGGUGGUCUUCAGAAACACAAAAGCUUCCAAAACAUAUUAGAAGUGUGUUGCUGCUUGGGACGGUUUUGGCCAAAAGACUCAUUCUCAGAGACUGGAAUAGUCUAUCUGCACCCAACUUCAGGAACUGCUUAAAUGAACUUGUGAAUGUAAUGACUCUUGAAAAAAUAAGAUUUAUAAACUCUACAAAUAUGAACAAAUGGGAAUUAACCUGGAAACCUUUACUGACAUAUAUUGAAGCAUAACUUAUAGACAUUUAAAGAAAAACUAAACUGCCAUCUUAUUGUAGUUGUAUUCCUUUUUUAUCUUUAUUGUUAUUAUCUUUUGUACUGAUUCAACACUACACUUGUUUUUCUUGUGUCACUUCUGAUAUGGUUUUGUCAUGGUUUACUUGCUUUUUUGUUCAGUUUUUUUUGUAUUGAUCAAGCCCUGUAACUUUUCCUUUUUUUCCCCUCUAAGUGUGUACGGUGGACAGGCCCUCGGGAGGUGAUCUUGUGAACACUUGCUGAGGAUCCUUGAUGCCGAGUGCAGGAUGUUUCCUACCAGUUUGAAGCCAUGUCUGAAGGGUUCCGAGGUGGAAUGUUCUGCGCUGGCCGAUGGCGGCGUCGGGGGGGGGGGGCACUGCACCGCAUGCCCAUGGUGACGAGGAAACAGCUGACGCAGGCAACAACGGCAUAGACCAACAUCUGAAGGAUGACAGGGAAAAAAAGCUCCAUCCCCCUGGAAAAGAAGGAAAGAAGGGAAGAAUAAUGUGGAUUUAUUGAGGAGAAAGAGAAGUAAAUAUUUGGUGGCGUUUAAGAAGUGUUUGUGUUCCACCUGCAUGACAAGAUGAGGACUUUUUUUAAGGCAGCACUUCCAACAAGAAGAAGAUGAGGACAUGUUUGAGGCAGCACUUCCAACAAGAAGAAGAUGAGGACAUGUUUGAGGCAGCACUUCCAACAAGAAGAAGAUGAGGACAUGCUUGAGGCAGCACUUCCAACAAGAAGAAGAAGAUGAGGACAUGUUUGAGGCAGCACUUCCAACAAGAAGAAGAUGAGGACAUGUUUGAGGCAGCACUUCCAACAAGAAGAAGAUGAGGACAUGUUUGAGGCAGCACUUCCAACAAGAAGAAGAUGAGGACAUGUUUGAGGCAGCACUUCCAAGAAGAAGAAGAUGAGGUCAUGUUUGAGGCAGCACUUCCAACAAGAAGAAGAAGAUGAGGACAUGUUUGAGGCAGCACUUCCAACAAGAAGAAGAUGAGGACAUGUUUGAGGCAGCACUUCCAACAAGAAGAAGAAGAUGAGGACAUGUUUGAGGCAGCACUUCCAACAAGAAGAAGAUGAGGACAUGUUUGAGGCAGCACUUCCAACAAGAAGAAGAUGAGGACAUGUUUGAGGCAGCACUUCCAACAAGAAGAAGAUGAGGACAUGUUUGAGGCAGCACUUCCAACAAGAAGAAGAUGAGGACAUGUUUGAGGCAGCACUUCCAACAAGAAGAAGAAGACGAGGACAUGUUUAAGGCAGCACUUCCAACAAGAAGAAGAUGAGGACAUGUUUGAGGCAGCACUUCCAACAAGAAGAAGAUGAGGACAUGUUUGAGGCAGCACUUCCAACAAGAAGAAGAUGAGGACAUGUUUGAGGCAGCACUUCCAACAAGAAGAAGAUGAGGACAUGUUUGAGGCAGCACUUCCAAGAAGAAGAAGAUGAGGACAUGUUUGAGGCUGCACUUCCAACAAGAAGAAGAUGAGGACAUGUUUGAGGCAGCACUUCCAACAAGAAGAAGAUGAGGACAUGUUUGAGGCAGCACUUCCAACAAGAAGAAGAAGAUGAGGACAUGUUUGAGGCAGCACUUCCAACAAGAAGAAGAAGAUGAGGACAUGUUUGAGGCAGCACUUCCAACAAGAAGAAGAUGAGGACAUGUUUGAGGCAGCACUUCCAAGAAGAAGAAGAUGAGGUCAUGUUUGAGGCAGCACUUCCAACAAGAAGAAGAAGAUGAGGACAUGUUUGAGGCAGCACUUCCAACAAGAAGAAGAUGAGGACAUGUUUGAGGCAGCACUUCCAACAAGAAGAAGAAGAUGAGGACAUGUUUGAGGCAGCACUUCCAACAAGAAGAAGAUGAGGACAUGUUUGAGGCAGCACUUCCCACAAGAAGAAGAAGAUGAGGACAUGUUUGAGGCAGCACUUCCAACAAGAAGAAGAAGAUGAGGACAUGUUUGAGGCAGCACUUCCAACAAGAAGAAGAAGAUGAGGACAUGUUUGAGGCAGCACUUCCAACAAGAAGAAGAAGAUGAGGACAUGUUUGAGGCAGCACUUCCAACAAGAAGAAGAUGAGGACAUGUUUGAGGCAGCACUUCCAACAAGAAGAAGAUGAGGACAUGUUUGAGGCAGCACUUCCAACAAGAAGAAGAAGAUGAGGACAUGUUUGAGGCAGCACUUCCAACAAGAAGAAGAAGAUGAGGACAUGUUUGAGGCAGCACUUCCAACAAGAAGAAGAUGAGGACAUGUUUGAGGCAGCACUUCCAACAAGAAGAAGAUGAGGACAUGUUUGAGGCAGCACUUCCAACAAGAAGAAGAAGAUGAGGACAUGUUUGAGGCAGCACUUCCAACAAGAAGAAGAAGAUGAGGACAUGCUUGAGGCAGCACUUCCAACAAGAAGAAGAAGAUGAGGACAUGUUUGAGGCAGCACUUCCAACAAGAAGAAGAAGAUGAGGACAUGUUUGAGGCAGCACUUCCAACAAGAAGAAGAAGAUGAGGACAUGUUUGAGGCAGCACUUCCAACAAGAAGAAGAAGAUGAGGACAUGUUUGAGGCAGCACUUCCAACAAGAAGAAGAAGAUGAGGACAUGUUUGAGGCAGCACUUCCAACAAGAAGAAGAUGAGGACAUGUUUGAGGCAGCACUUCCAACAAGAAGAAGAAGAUGAGGACAUGUUUGAGGCAGCACUUCCAACAAGAAGAAGAAGAUGAGGACAUGCUUGAGGCAGCACUUCCAACAAGAAGAAGAAGAUGAGGACAUGUUUGAGGCAGCACUUCCAACA